GAGGAUAGAGUGAGCCUGGCCCAGCUGUGGUUCUCAGAAGACAGAGCACUGAGCACAUGCACCAUGGCCUGGACUCCUCUCUCACUUCUCGUCGUCACUCUCUGCACAGGCUCUGUGACCUCCAGUGAGCUGACUCAGCCAUGCUUUGUGUCAGUGGCCCUGGGACAGACGGAUACAAUCACCUGCACUGGAGAGGAACUGGAAUAUGAUUAUGUACACUGGUACCAGCAGAAGCCAGGAGAAGCCCCUUUGACAGUCAUUUAUGCAGAUAGUGAGCGGCCCUCUGGGAUCCCAGAGCGAUUCUCUGGCUCCAAGUCAGGGAACACGGCUACCCUCACCAUCAGCAGGGCACAGGCCAAGGACGAGGCUGACUGUUACUGUCAGCUGUGGGAUAGUGGUAAUGCUCAUAGUGACACAGGCAGAUGGGGAACCAGUGUGUCUGGGCUUAGUGCAGCUGCUUACAGUGUGCAGAAGGACCAAUUCUGGAUGGCCGGCCUGCCAGAACCCACCCGACCCCUCAGCGAUGGGAUCUUCCUGGAGGUGGACCCUGACCCCAAGCAGACUGACUGGCAUUCCUUGGAGGAAGAGAUAGCUCCCUAUGAGGUGGGCCAUCAGCCUCCCCAGCCCAUCCCUAUAAGCCCCCAGAAAGUCUGCACCAUGAAUGGCCAGAAAGUGAAUGCUGGGGCUUUAUGCAAGUAG